UCAUGUUGUUGCUCUAGGUGUCUUCACUCUGUCCUUUUCUCUCACUCGAGAGAGGAUUGAAGGUCUGCAAGUCCCAUCUGGGCAGUGAAAGAGUUAAGAUUUCACCCAAGGU